rnacentral:rRNA from 1 species
AACGAACGCUGGCGGCAGGCUUAACACAUGCAAGUCGAGCGGGCUCCUUCGGGGGUCAGCGGCGGACGGGUUAGUAACGCGUGGGAACGUGCCCUCUUCUACGGAACAGCCUCGGGAAACUGAGAUUGAUACCGUAUACGCCCAUUGGGUAACCUUUGGGGAAAGAUUUAUCGGAGGAGGAUCGGCCCGCGUCUGAUUAGGUAGUUGGUGGGGUAACGGCUCACCAAGCCGACGAUCAGUAGCUGGUUUGAGAGGAUGA